UAUUUUAUAUUGCUUAGUGUAUUGAUUGCUUUUGUAGCCACAAGAAGUGGUAGUGAUGUUUAUUCAUUUAUGCUUGUGUCUAUUUUCACUUUGAAUUUGCAACAUGUAUUUAAAACAGUCAUAGGAUUCCACUUAACUUCAGUAUAUAAAAGUGAGAAAAACUUAACAACUUUAAUGUUUUAAUGCACUUUGUUUGUCUAAACAUAAAGUAUUUAUGUGCUAAAAUGCUUCAUCUAUUUUGAACAUAUGUGUAAAUAAUGAGCACAUCCAAUUAUGUACACUUCAACAUUAGCCUUUACUUUCUAAAUAAAAUAGAACAAACACACGUUUGGAUACUGAAUGGCGCAGUGACCACUUUAAAUUUUAUUUUCCUAUUACAAUAUGUAUCUGAUCUGGUUAAGUCCAUCAAUAACACAAGAUACACUACCUGACAGAAUCUUGGACAAUAUCAUGUUCUGCAACAAAAUAAUCUACAAAAUAAAUACAACACAUUUAAAUACUGUUCUUUAUAUAUAAAACUUCAAUACAAAUAUUUUGUAUACAAAAAAAACCAAAC
rnacentral:lncRNA from 1 species